CUUUUCAGCGCAAACCGGCAUUCGGUUCUUCAGAUUUGUGCUCUUGAAAAUUGGAGUUGUGGCUUCGUCAUAUAUUCACCUUAACGCAUUCCGCACGGUCUCAAAGGACGCGGUAUGUGUGCCAGCGGGCAUGAUGCCCAUAGCACUAGUGGUGGUAGAGGAUGAAGUGCUUCGAGUGACGAGGUAUAAGAGGCGCGAGACGAAACGCCAGAACAACGGCACGGGUAAUGGGAUACCUCCUGCAAGGGUAGAUGAACACACAGGCUCAUACCGAGCGUGUCCAAGUGGACGAGCAGGCCCCAUGGCGAGGUGAAUUUUUACUUGACACAAUUUCUAUCAGGCCAUGGGUGCUUUAGGUAGUAUCUGUACAGAUUCGGACACGCAGACUCCCCCGCAUGUCUGGAGUGUGCAGACUGCGACGAGACCGCGGAACACGCUCGUUUUGGAUGCCCACGUUCCGUGGAGCAAAGGUUGAGUAUGCAGGAGGUAUGCGGUAGAGAUAUCACGCCUGCCAACAAUGUUGAAACACGGACAGAAAAAUGUCUACAUUGAAUCAAAAAUAAAGAUUGUUGUUUUUAUGGAAUGAUAUUUUAUUGAAUUUAUGCUAAAUAUCAUAAAAUCAAUUAUAUAAUUCAAGUUGAAUUCAAAGUGAACUUAUGAUUGUUUUAAAUGUAUCAACAUCCAAACAUAAGUAUUAUUAAAUCAAUAAUAAUCCGUUAGAAUUUACCGUGCAUUCAUGCGUGCACUCCCUCGAGCUCGUCGUGACUAAAAAAAUGCUAGCGACCACUCCCUUGUUAUAUCUCUUGACAAAUACGUAAACAAACAAAAGGUUUCUCGCGUUUCAUGUUAUUUGUUCCGCCGGCUCGUGAAAAAGUGUUUCUUUUCAGUAAAAAAGUUAAUAAAGUGAAGUUAUUUUUGUAAAUUGUCGAAGGUUUAGAAAACGGCUACAACUUGGAAACCCUGAAGAUCGUAGAACGGCAGGAACUAGAAGAAGUGGUACAGAAGCCAUAUCUCGCCGAUCGUACUAAGCUUGUGCAUGGUCUAAACAACUGGAGAAAAUCUUUGGGACUCACACCUGUGUCAUCAAUCUCACCAGCUCAAGAAAGAGAAGAAGUACUGCGACGAGAAACACUAACAGCAACGCUGCUCUUGAACAAAUCUUCAAAAGGAAAGCAGGUUUUGGCCAUCUACAACGAGUGCAAAAUAUUAACGAAGGCGCAGAAGAAAGCAGUCACCCAUAUUAUCGUCGAUGAGUUCAAGGAUAAAUUUGGCACUCUGACAAGCGUGGAGUUAACUCGACUGCCCGCCGAACUGCAUUCUAUUUUUCCGACGGAACCUGAGGUUUGGUUUGGUAACAGGUUGAUUUUUGCGUGAUAUAAUUUGUGUAUCACCCCUUAGGGUCUGUCCAUAAACUACAUACUCUUAGGGGAA